UUAAGAGACAGCGUAGAUUGGACACUAGACAAACAUAAACAGUGAAAGUGAUUGUAUGUAAUUAAUUUGAAAUAUGUUACAGAAACUUCACACUGUACUACAUAUUUUUAAUGGGUUAAAAAUCUCAAACAAAUAGUUUGACGCAACGAAUGAAAAAAGGGUCACGAUAAUUUUACGUGGAUACUAUAAUAGUCGCGGGCUUAAUGCUUUGCUCACUUUAUCUAUAGGAUGGCCAAAUUGUAAGAACUGAGACUUAGAACUCGUAUCUCAAGUGGCUAGGUGCGUGAUAUUGUCGCGAGAUAUUCAUGACAUGAUUCAUUUGUACAUUAUUGCAAAUGCAAUUGGCGGGCAACCUCAAACUGUUACAUAUUCAGAGUAAGACUAAUUUAUUGUUUGCGAUAAUUAACUGUGUUAUCGUCAAUCACUAAUAUUAAUAAUGCAACGCCGGUAAGAGUAACGCCAUCUAUCGCCGAAUAGCCGAAAUGAAUACCGAAGGAACUAGUAACGCCGAAAACGCUCGAGAAGUACAAAGCCAUCUAUUGUCCUCUAGCGGAAACACACAUCAAUGCUACUAGAUUUGCCCACAAUGUUCUCGAUAAAUCUAAGGGUGUCGUAUCGACUAUAAAAGCUUUGCAGAGAUGACUAGAAGUCAGUCAGUAAAGGGAUAUCCUCGAAGCAAAACAGCGAACGGAUCACCUGAAGCGAAUUGGAAGAAGUGAAGUGUGAAUUUUAAAGUGUUCGUUUGUUUUAAGUGUUAAUACAGUUUUAAUUUGCACUUU